GAUGAACGCUGGCGGCGUGCCUAAUACAUGCAAGUCGAGCGAACAGAUGAGGAGCUUGCUCCUCUGACGUUAGCGGCGGACGGGUGAGUAACACGUGGAUAACCUACCUAUAAGACUGGGAUAACUUCGGGAAACCGGAGCUAAUACCGGAUAAUAUAUUGAACCGCGUGGUUCAAUAGUGAAAGACGGUUUUGCUGUCACUUAUAGAUGGAUCCGCGCCGCAUUAGCUAGUUGGUAAGGUAACGGCUUACCAAGGCAACGAUGCGUAGCCGACCUGAGAGGGUGAUCGGCCACACUGGAACUGAGACACGGUCCAGACUCCUACGGGAGGCAGCAGUAGGGAAUCUUCCGCAAUGGGCGAAAGCCUGACGGAGCAACGCCGCGUGAGUGAUGAAGGUCUUCGGAUCGUAAAACUCUGUUAUUGGGGAAGAACAAAUGUGUAAGUAACUAUGCAUGUCUUGACGGUACCUAAUCAGAAAGCCACGGCUAACUACGUG
rnacentral:rRNA from 1 species